rnacentral:rRNA from 1 species
AGAACCAAUUGUUUUUAAUUUAUUAUUAUAAUCAUAACAUAUAUACACCUGUGUCCUAUUUUAUUUCAACUAAUUUCCGUAAGGUAUUAAUUCUCUUAUUUAUAAUAUAGCUUUUUCUUAGUACCUUUUGCAUCAUGGUUUAACUAAAUCAAAGGAUUUUCCUUUAACCCGAAAAAGGAUCCGAGCUAUUAUUAUCUUGUUAAGAACUCAGAUGUUAAUGUAACAAUAUUUUAUUCAAAGAUAAUAAUAGAAGCUACAUACUUACCGCGGCCUGAAAUAGCUGGUUUUCUUCUUUAAGAUCUAAGUCUUUCUAACAAUCUCAUUGUUAAUCUACUAACUUUAGGAUAAGCUAAAGUUCUUAAUUUAUUUUUAAUCAAGUAAUACAACAUAUAUAGGCUUAGAAUCAGCCAAUUAUAUAAAUUGCGUUUCAGCAUAAUUUCUAAAAUUACAAAAAUAAUAAUAUAAAUAAUUACUAACGAAGAAAUACUUGAUAAUCUAUCUCUCAUUUUUUACAAUGUUAAAAUUAGUAUUUAAAAAUUUUAUUACUUAUAAUUAUUAUAUCUAACACUAUUUUACUUUAUCUUAAUAUUUUAUAAACGAACUCUGCAAACUUAAAUCUCGCCUGUUUACCAAAAACAUCGUUUUCAGAUAAUAUAUUGAAAAUACUCCCUGCCCAGUGACAAAUGUUCAACGGCCGCGGUAUCCUGACCGUGCAAAGGUAGCAUAAUCAUUUGCCUUUUAAUUGAAGGCUAGUAUGAAUGGGAAGACGUAGAUUAAGCUGUUUCUAUUUUAUAAAUAAAACUUAAACUUUAGGUGAAGAUGCCUAAAUUUAAUAGAAAGACAAGAAGACCCUAUAGAGUUUUAGCUAAAAAUACUUAACUUUAUUACUAUAGCUUUGGUUGGGGCGACCUAGGAUUUUACUAAACAUCCUAAUUUAAAUAGAUUUUUAAAUCUCUAAAAUAGACCCCGUCACGGAUUAUAAGAAUUAACUACCUUAGGGAUAACAGGCUUAUCUUCCUAGAGAGCUCUUAUUGAUAGGAUGGUUUGGCACCUCGAUGUUGGCUUAGAGUAACUAAAUACCGCAGCAGGUAUUGAAAGUCAGUUUGUUCAACUGUUAAUUCUCUACAUGAGCUGAGUUCAGACCGGCGCAAGCCAGGUUAGUUUCUAUCUUCUAUUAUUCCUUUAUAACUUAUUAGUACGAAAGGACCAUAAAGUUUCAAUAAAUAUAUUGAUCAAAUUAUGAAAUCAAAUAAUACAAAUUAAUUAAUAA